rnacentral:tRNA from 1 species
GGAUAGCUCAGUUGGUUAGAGUGCGAUGCUGAGAAUGCCAAGGUUGCAGGUUUGAUCCCUGUAUGGGACA